rnacentral:rRNA from 1 species
UACGUAGGCAGCGAGCGUUGUUCGGAAUUACUGGGCGUAAAGAGUGUGUAGGCGGCGCGGUAAGUCGGGUGUGAAAAUCUUGGAGCUUAACUCCGAAACUGCAUUCGAUACUGCCGUGCUUGAGGACUGGAGAGGAGACUGGAAUUUACGGUGUAGCGGUGAAAUGCGUAGAUAUCGAGAGGAACACCUGCGGCGAAGGCGGGUUGCUGGGCCGACACUGACGCUGAUGCGCGAAAGCCAGGGGAGCGAACGGG